rnacentral:rRNA from 1 species
GACGAACGCUGGCGGCGAGCCUAAUACAUGCAAGUCGAGCGGAUGACGGAGGAGCUUGCUCCUCUAGAUUCAGCGGCGGACGGGUGAGUAACACGUGGGCAACCUGCCCUGUAGAUUGGGAUAACUCCGGGAAACCGGGGCUAAUACCGAAUAAUCCUUCGGACCUCAUGGUCCGAUGUUGAAAGGCGGUUUCGGCUGGCACUACAGGAUGGGCCGGCGGCGCAUUAGCCAGUUGGUGAGGUAACGGCUCACCAAGGCCACGAUGCGUAGCCGACCUGAGAGGGUGAUCGGCCACACUGGGACUGAGACACGGCCCAGACUCCUACGGGAGGCAGCAGUAGGGAAUCUUCCACAAUGGACGAAAGUCUGAUGGAGCAACGCCGCGUGAGUGAAGAAGGUUCUCGGAUCGUAAAACUCUGUUGUGAGGGAAGAACAAGUACCGGAGUAACUGCCGGUGCCUUGACGGUACCUCAUUAGAAAGCCACGGCUAACUACGUGCCAGCCGCCGCGGUAAGAC